AAGGACACAGGAGAGAAAAAACACAGUGAGCAGGAGGAACUGCGCCCACAGACAGAGUUCUGGAGGCUGCAAAGUCCAACAGUAAGAGCCUGCAUCUGCUGAGGGCCUUCCUGCUGGGACAUCCCAUGGUGGAAGGCAGAAGGGGAAAGGGCGAGAGAGCCAGAGAGCAAGCCAGCAAGAGGAGCCCCACACCGGCCUUCACAAAAACCACUCUCAGGCAUUGGAAAGUCUAAGCCAACUAUCCCCCACAGUUGGCACCCUGGAACAGGCGACUGCAGGAGCAGCAAGCAGCAGCAUUACCGGCCACUAGGCAGAG